UACGAAGGGUGCAAGCGUUAAUCGGAAUUAUUGGGCGUAAAGAGCUCGUAGGCGGCCAGUUGCGUCUGCUGUGAAAUCCCGGGGCUCAACCCCGGGCGUGCAGUGGAUACGGGCUGGCUAGAGGCAGGCAGGGGAGAACGGAAUUCCCGGUGUAGCGGUGAAAUGCGCAGAUAUCGGGAGGAACACCGGUGGCGAAGGCGGUUCUCUGGGCCUGUACUGACGCUGAGGAGCGAAAGCGUGGGGAGCGAACAGG
rnacentral:rRNA from 1 species